GAGAGAGAGAGAGAGAGAGAAUGGCAAAAGGGUGAGGAGUGCAGAGAGUGCUAAUCUGCAACCCAGCAAAAAUUGAAUUCGCUUCUACUUCUAGCAUUGCUAUAUACUUUUCUCGCAACUCUCCAGGUUUAUCGCACAUGGUCUACACAAGAGUAGUGCAGUGUUGGUUUGAACAUUCACUAGGGAACUAUUGGUUGGUAUCAUUAAAACUUAUCAAUAGCUGCUGCGGGUGCUGGGGCUGCCACUUCCAUCACAACAAAUCCAUUGUGGGCUGUUAAGACCAGACUCCAUGAUUUCCGGAAGGAUUGGUUAAUGAUUUUGAUGAUAGUCACAUCUUCUCGAUCUGACAUAAACAUAAGACGUUUGGAGAAAGCUACAGGCUCCACCGGGAAGCAAGGAUUAUUAUCAGAGGGAAAUGCUGCUUACAAUUGGUCCAGAUGUGUUGAUGAACUGGAAUCUCAAUUAUCAAAGCAUGGCAGUCUUAAAAAGCUCUAUUUCUACCACCAGCACCUUACAGCGACACAAGGAAUGAGGCGGGAUGUAUUUCCUUACAAAGGUAUGGUUUCUGCAUUGACAAGGAUAGCACAUGAGGAAGGCAUUCGAGAAUUGCAUAGGUAAGUUCUUCCUUACUUUGAUGUGUAUUAUGUGAGUUUGCAAAUAACCAUUAUCUGGGAUCCAAUCCUAAAUACAUUUAUGAGUAAUUGUGGUAAUUAAUGCGGCUAGCUACUCUUUUACUUCAACCGGUUAUAAACUAGUUAUAUUAUAAAUGGCAAAAUUUAAGUACAAUACCUUAUGUGCUGUUCUUUAGGUUCCCCUCUUAAGAUUUAACCAUAUGGCUACUUAACUAAAAAAUAUACUUCCAUCCUAUGAAAAAAAAUCCACAUGACAGAAUUUUAAAAGGGGAACCUAAGGAACAACACUUAAGUAUUGUACUUAAGUCUUGCUCUAUUAUAAAAUAAAAUAAAAUAAAUUGUUAGAAUGUGUGAGGAACAUGCACCAUUUUGAUUGAUUCUCACUAUUGCAUAAAAAGGUUAUAUAAUUUGUCCUAGAAAUUAUGUGAAAACUAAGUGGUAGUGUUAUUUUUUAUUUUUUGGUAAUGAGAGUUACUGAUUAAGAGGGUCUGCCUCUAGUACAUGAGGUAUACAUGAUGUAGUGUUAAAGAAUUACAAUGAAAGAAAAUAGUUACAAUAAGAAAGAGAGAAAAUCAAUAAAAUCUAAAAUGACUAAAAUUAACUUGUUUUAUUCUCUUGUGAAUUUCAAGUAACAAAAGGAUAAACAAACAUGUAAUCAUGAGUGUUCUUUGGAAAUUCUAAAGCUACAAGUAGAUAGAUAACCGUUUUAAUAAAAACAACUAUAAAUUCUUGAAUUUGAAUUGUAGUGAGGACAGAGUUAUAUAGAUGAUCAGUUUUGAUUGCAAGUGUGUUUUCUUGAAUUUGUUUUUUACAAUUGGUGGUAUUGAGCUCUUUUAUUGCAUUCAAUUUGUUUAUAGUGGGCCAAUAUAGAUAUGACAUCUAGCUGUUAGAUAUGCAUAGCGGACAAUUUUGUCUUCCCUUUCUGGUUGACAGCCUUGUUCAAUGGGAUUUGCUACUGGAAGAAAAGCAUUCUUAGUGUGUGGGUUUUCCUAUGAAACUAGUCUCUUUUCUAUUUCUUAUGAUGAUUGAUUGUCCUCCAAGCAGGGCGGCGCAGCCUAUGGCCUUAGGGCUCAUAGAAGUGAAUGUGUCUUAAUAGAUAUUACACAACUUAUAUCUAUUCUAUCUUCCUCUGUUUGUCAUUUGUCAUCUCUAUUUUCAUGGUAGUUGGCAUAGUCAUCUGUUGCUCCCUAUAACAUUUUUUUUUAUUGACCAUACUUCACUAGUGUCCUCUAGUAUUGACCAUACCUCACAAGUGAACUAAGUGGAACAUCUAAAAAUUCAGAAAAAGUUGUUCUCCUCGUUGUUCUCCACUAAUGACCAUACAAGGCCAUGGCAUGCCCACAUGCAUGCUCCCAAGUUUAUGAAAACUGCCAUAGGGAAGCAGCCAUGGCAAAGGUACACAGCUAAGAUCAAGAUAGCACCCAUGGGCAAGGCAGCCACGGCUAAGGCAUGUAGCCAAAGCCAAGGAAUCUCCCAUAGGCAAGCAGCAAAGGCCAAGGUAGCCCCUGUGGGCAAACUACCAAGACCAAGGCAUGUUGGCUUACCCAAAUAAACUUCUUUCAAAAAAAAAAAAAAAAUUCUUUUGGAAAAGCCCUUCCCUCAUUUGGUGAAAUAACCCACCAUUGAGCAAGCAGCCAAGGCUAUAAGGCAGCCCCCGUGGGCACAUUGCCAAGGACAUAGCAUGCCCACAUGCAUGCUCCCAGGACCAUGAAAGCCUCCAUAGGAAAGCAGCCAUGGCAAAGGCACAUAGCCAAGAUCAAGGCAGCACCUAUAGGCAAGGCCAUCAUGGCUACAAAGAUAACCUCCAUUGAGAAUAAAUAAAUAAAAUAAAAUAAAAUAAAAUAAAAACUUUCUUGUAAAAAACCCUUUUUGGAAAAAACCCUCAUUAGGAAAAAUAACCACCCUCCAAUGGGCAAGUAGUAAAGGCCAUGGCAUGCCCAUGUGAAUGCCCCUAAGGCCAUGACAGCCCCCAUGGGAAAGCAGCCAUGGCAAAAGUAGGUAGCCAAGGCAGCCCUCCAAUGGGCAAGCGGCCAAGGCAGCCCUUGUGACACGUUGCCAAGGACAUGGCAUCCAUGACACAACCCCUAUGGGAAAGCUGCUAUGGCAAAAGGCACUAGCCAAGAUAAAGGCAUCACCAACUAGCAAGACUAUGGUAUGCAAUCAAAGCUAAAGCAAGCUCCAUAGGCAAGCAACAAACAUUAAGGAAACCCCAUGGGCAUGCUGCCAUGGCCAAGGGCAAGGUAGCUAUGGCCAAGGCACACAGCCAAGGCAGCCCCCAUAGGCAUGCAACAAACAUUAAGGAAACCCCCAUGGGCAUGCUACCAUGGCCAAGGGCAAGGUAGCUAUGGCCAAGGCACACAGCCAAGGCAGCCCCCAUAGGCAUGCUGCCUUUUGAUAAAACCCUCAUUUGGGAAAAUAACUCUCGAAUGCUCUCAAGGCCAUGGCAUGAUAGGGAAGCAGCCCAGGAAGCAGCCAAGGCAUGGGCAAGGCUACCAUAGUUAAGGCAUGCAACAAAGGCCAAGGCAGCCCCCGUAAGCGCAUGCCAAGGCCAAGGUAUGCUACCUACCCAAAUAACCUCAUUUGAGGAGGAAAAAAAAAAAAAAAAAACCUUACUUGGAAAAAUUACCCUCCAAUGGGCAAGUAGGCAAGGCUAGCCACCAUGGGCACACUGCCAAGGCCAUGGCAUGCCCACCACAUGCAUGUUCCUAAGGCCAUGACAACAGCAAUGGAAUGUUCCUAAGGCCAUGACAACAACAAUGGAGAAGCAGCCAUAAUAGAGGCAAGGCAGCCCAUAGCUUAGGCAGGCAGUCAAAGCCAAGGAAGCGCCCAUAGGCAAGCAACAAAGGCAAAUGUAGCCCCAAUGGGCAUGCUGCCAAGGCCAACAUUGGCCUGCCCAAAUAUCCUCCUUUAAGAACAAAACCUUCUUUUAGGAAAAACCCUCCAACGGGCAAGUAGCCAAGGCAAAGGCACUAGCCAAUAGCCAAGAUGAAGGCAUCAUCCACUAGCAAGGUAGCCAUGGCUAAGGCAUGUAGUCAAAUCCAAGGCCCAAAGGCAAGCAGCAAACACCAAGGAAGCUCCCAUGAGCAUGCUACCAAGGCCAAGGUAUGCUACCCUGCCUAAAUAACCUCCAUUGAGAGAGAGAGAGAGAGAGAGAGAGAGAGAGAGAGAGAGAGAGAGAGAGAGAGAGAGAGAGAGAGAGAGAGAGAGAGAGAGAGAGAGAUUUUUGGAUAAAACCUUUGUUUGGGAAAGAAACUCUCGAAUGCUCCCAAGGCCAUGACAGUCCUCAUGGGGCAGCAACCAAGAACAAGGCAGCCCCCGUGGGCAUGUAGCCAAGGCCAAAUAACCUCAUUUUAGGGGGGGGGGGGGGGAACUUCUUUUAAAAAAAAAAUUUAAAGAAAACCCUUUAAUUGGAGGAAAAAUAAUCCUACAGCGAACAAGUAAGCAAGGCCAAAGAAGCCCCCAUGAGCACGCUGCCAAGGCCAUGGCAUGCCCAAAUGCAUGUUCCCAAGGCCAUGAUAGCUGUAUUGGGGAAGCAGCCAUGGCAAAGGCAUAUAGCCAAACCUAAGGAAGCCCACAUAGGCAAGCAGUAAAGGCAAGGUAGCCCCCAUGGACAUGCUACCAAGGCCAAAGGAUUUGGCCUGCCCAAAUACCCUCCUUUAAGAACAAAAACCUUCUUUUGAAAAAAAAAAUAAAAAAUUUCAAUUGGGAAAAUAACCUUCCAAUGGACAGCAGCCAAGGCCAUGGUAGCCCCUAUGGGUGGGGUACGUUUCCAAGGACAUGGCAUGCCUACACGCAUGCUCCCAAGGCAUCCCCCAUGCCCACAAGGGCAUGCUGCCAGGCCAAGGCAUGGUGGCCUAUCCAAAUAACCUACCUUAGGAUCGCCACUACAAUUGACUGACGGAGCUGAUGUUGGCAAACAAAACGCAAAGAGAGUUCUGACUCCGAUGCGGUGCAGUAAUUGAAGCAACAAAUCCGAAACCGAACCGACCCCUGUUUCAGAUGUUUGGAACUUUGGAUACGUCUCCACCAUGUUGCAUGCCACCGUUCUUCUUCUUCUCUUCUUCGUUUUGCACUUGUUCUUCUUCGUUCUGCAGUGCACUGGUCUAGUCUUUUAUUACUCUUGUAAUUUCUAGUUUCUAUUGUCUUCUAGAGAUAUUAGUACUCUUUUAAAGUUUUUGUCUUUUAACGUUUCAACUUUUAUGACCCCCACACGUGUCUAGCUUUGGAAAUGACAAAAGAAAAGCUUUAAAAAAAAAAAAAAUCCAAGUAUCAGACUUAGAUAUUACUCUAUUUUCCCACCAUUGUGUAGGUCCAUUGUGUAGGUAUAUUAAUAUUUAUUUAUACUAAAAAAAAAAGAAUCAUUAUUAAUGCUACGUUUACAAUAUUUUAACAAUAGAAGCUAUAAACUAGUAAAAAUAGAAGCUUAAACUAUAAACUAUAAACUUAGUAAUAUUUAUAAUUUAUUAUCAAUUUUUAAACACUUGUUUGGACUUUGUAGUGUUACAUUGUUACUUUAGUCCCAUUGAAUACUGAAUAGGUUGAAAGGAUUUAUUUAUUUAUUUAUUAUAAAAAUAAAAAAAUAAAAAAAACAGAAUUUUUAAUGUUUCAAAUCGACUAAACCGAAUAAACCGAGCCAACCAAACCACACCGCUAUAGGUUGGAAAACCGACCCUAAUCAGUAGGAAUCGGUUUUAAUUAUGAGAAAACCAAUCCCUAUUGGUUCAGUAACAAUUUUGAGAAAAAACCGAGCCGAUCAAACUGCGCACACCCCUAGCUAAGGCCAUGGUAGCCUAGGUGGGCACGCAACCAAGGCCGUGGCAUGCCCAUGUGCAUGUUCCCAAAGCCAUGAUAACCCCCCAAGGUAAGCAGCCAUGGCAAAGGCACACAAAGGUCAGGGUAGCCCCAGUGGGUAUGCUGGCCUACCCAAAUAACCUCCAUUGAGAAAAAAAAUCUUCUUCUGGAAAAAAAAACCCUCACUUGGGAAAAUAAACCAUAAGUGGGCAAGCAGCCAAGGCAAAGGCAACCCUUGUGGACACAUUGCCAAGGCCAUUGCAUGCCCACCUGCAUGCAUCCAAAGCCAUGACAAUCCCCAUGGGGAAGCAGCCAUGGCAAAGGCACAGAACCAAAAUCAAUGAAGCACCCACGGGCCAGAGGUAAAAGUCGAGACAACCCUCGUGGGCACAUUGCCAUGGCCAUUACAUGCUGACCUGCCCAAAUAACCUCCUUUGGGAAAAUGACCAAUUUUUAGAGAAAAGCCUUAUUUGUGAAAAUAACCCUCUAAUGUGCAAGCAGUUAAGACCAAGGCAACCACUGUGGGCAUGUUGCCAGGGCCAUGGGCAAGCAGCCAAGGCAAAGGCAACCCUCGUGGACAUGUUGCCAAGGCCAUUACAUGCUGACCUGCCUAAAUAACCUCCUUUUAGAGAAAAGCCUUAUUUGUGAAAAUAACCCUCUAAUGUGCAAGCAGUUAAGACCAAGGCAACCAUUGUGGGUAUGCUGCCAGGGCCAUGGCAAACCCCAUGGCAAAGCAACCAUAGCAAAGGCACGUAGCAAAGAUCAGAGUAGCACCAAUGGGAAAGGCGGCCAUGGCUAAUAAGGCACGCCGCCAAUGCCAAGGCAACUCCCUUAGGCAAGAAGCAAAGGCCAAGGCAUAAUGGCUAGCCCAAAUUACCUCAUUUGAAAAAAAAAAAAACACUUUCUUUUGGGAAAAUAACCCUCCAAUGGACAAGCAGCCAAUGCCAAGCUAGCCUUCAUAGCCAUGUUGCCAAGGCCAUGGCAUGCCCACAUGCAUGUUCCCAAGUCCAUAGUAACCUCCAUGAGGAAGCAGCCAUGGCAAAGCCAUCCAGCCAAGAUCAAGACAACACCGUGGGCAAGGUCGCCACGGCUAAGACACGUAGCCACGACCAUGUUAGCCCUUAUAGGCAAGAAGCAAAGGCUAAGGCAGCCCCCGUGGGCACUCUGCCAAGGACAAGGCAUGUUAGCUUACCCAAAUGAGCUCCUUUAAGGGAGGGGAAAAAAAAAAAAA